CCUACGGGAGGCAGCAGUGAGGAAUAUUGGUCAAUGGACGAGAGACUGAACCAGCCAAGUAGCGUGAAGGAUGAAUGCACUAUGGGUUGUAAACUUCUUUUAUAUGGGAAUAAAAUGUUCCACGUGUGGGCUUUUGUAUGUACCCUAUGAAUAAGCAUCGGCUAACUCCGUGCCAGCAGCCGCGGUAAUACGGAGGAUCCGAGCGUUAUCCGGAUUUAUUGGGGUUAAAGGGUGCGUAGGUGGUUUGUUAAGUCAGUGGUGAAAGUUUGCGGCUCAACCGUAAAAUUGCAGUUGAAACUGGCAGGCUUGAGUGCGGUUGAGGUAGGCGGAAUGCGUGGUGUAGCGGUGAAAUGCUUAGAUAUCACGCAGAACUCCGAUUGCGAAGGCAGCUCAC
rnacentral:rRNA from 1 species